rnacentral:rRNA from 1 species
UUUUAGAGUUUGAUCCUGGUUCAGGACGAACGCUGGCGGCGUGCCUAAUACAUGCAAGUAGAACGCUGAAGAGAGGAGCUUGCUCUUCUUGGAUGAGUUGCGAACGGGUGAGUAACGCGUAGGUAACCUGCCUGGUAGCGGGGGAUAACUAUUGGAAACGAUAGCUAAUACCGCAUGAUAUUAAUUGUCGCAUGAUAAUUAAUUGAAAGAUGCAAUUGCAUCACUACCAGAUGGACCUGCGUUGUAUUAGCUAGUUGGUGAGGUAACGGCUCACCAAGGCGACGAUACAUAGCCGACCUGAGAGGGUGAUCGGCCACACUGGGACUGAGACACGGCCCAGACUCCUACGGGAGGCAGCAGUAGGGAAUCUUCGGCAAUGGGGGGAACCCUGACCGAGCAACGCCGCGUGAGUGAAGAAGGUUUUCGGAUCGUAAAGCUCUGUUGUAAGAGAAGAAACGGGUGUGAGAGUGGAAAGUUCCCC